AUUGAACGCUGGCGGCGGGCCUAACACAUGCAAGUCGAACGAGUGGCGGACGGGUGAGUAAUGUCUGGGAAACUGCCUGAUGGAGGGGGAUAACUACUGGAAACGGUAGCUUAUACCGCAUACCAUCAGAUGUGCCCAGAUGGGAUUAGCUUGUUGGUGGGGUAACGGCUCACCAAGGCGACGAUCCCUAGCUGGUCUGAGAGGAUGACCAACCACACUGGAACUGAGACACGGUCCAGACUCCUACGGGAGGCAGCAGUGGGGAAUAUUGCACAAGGGGCGCAAGCCUGAUGCAGCCAGGCGGCGUGUAGGAAGAAGGCUUUCGGGUUGUAAAGUACUUUCAGCGGGGAGGCGGUACCCGCAGAAGAAGCAACGGCUAACUCCGUGCCAGCAGCCGCGGUAAUUC
rnacentral:rRNA from 1 species